rnacentral:rRNA from 1 species
UACGGAGGGUGCGAGCGUUGUCCGGAAUCACUGGGCGUAAAGGGCGCGUAGGCGGCAGGCCAAGCGUGCGGUGAAAGUCCGGGGCUCAACCCCGGAUCUGCCGUGCGGACUGGUUUGCUAGAGCACUGUAGAGGCGAGUGGAAUUCCGGGUGUAGCGGUGGAAUGCGUAGAGAUCCGGAAGAACACCGGUGGCGAAGGCGGCCUGCUGGGACAAUGCUGACGCUGAGGCGCGACAGCGUGGGGAGCAAACAGG